AGUCGACGGGAUCUGACCAGCUUGCUGGUUGGUGAGAGUGGCGAACGGGUGAGUAAUGCGUGACCAACCUGCCCCAUGCUCCAGAAUAGCUCUUGGAAACGGGUGGUAAUGCUGGAUGCUCCAACUUGACGCAUGUCUUGUUGGGAAAGUGUUUAGUGGCAUGGGAUGGGGUCGCGUCCUAUCAGCUUGUAGGCGGGGUAAUGGCCCACCUAGGCUUCGACGGGUAGCCGGCCUGAGAGGGCGGACGGCCACAUUGGGACUGAGAUACGGCCCAGACUCCUACGGGAGGCAGCAGUGGGGAAUAUUGCGCAAUGGGGGAAACCCUGACGCAGCGACGCCGCGUGCGGGAUGAAGGCCUUCGGGUUGUAAACCGCUUUUGAUUGGGAGCAAGCCUUUUGGGUGAGUGUACCUUUCGAAUAAGCGCCGGCUAACUACGUGCCAGCAGCCGCGGUAAUACGUAGGGCGCAAGCGUUAUCCGGAAUUAUUGGGCGUAAAGAGCUUGUAGGCGGUUCGUCGCGUCUGGUGUGAAAACCCAUCGCUUAACGGUGGGUUUGCGCCCGGUACUGGCGGGCUAUAGUGCAGUAUG
rnacentral:rRNA from 1 species